CUCCGUAGGUGAACCUGCGGAGGGAUCAUUACCGAGUUUACAACUCCCAAGACCCCUGUGAACAUACCUAUACGUUGCCUCGGCGGAUCAGCCCGCGCCCCGUAAAACGGGACGGCCCGCCCGAGGACCCCUAAACUCUGUUUUUAGUGGAACUUCUGAGUAAAACAAACAAAUAAAUCAAAACUUUCAACAACGGAUCUCUUGGUUCUGGCAUCGAUGAAGAACGCAGCAAAAUGCGAUAAGUAAUGUGAAUUGCAGAAUUCAGUGAAUCAUCGAAUCUUUGAACGCACAUUGCGCCCGCCAGUAUUCUGGCGGGCAUGCCUGUUCGAGCGUCAUUUCAACCCUCAAGCUCAGCUUGGUGUUGGGACUCGCGGUAACCCGCGUUCCCCAAAUCGAUUGGCGGUCACGUCGAGCUUCCAUAGCGUAGUAAUCAUACACCUCGUUACUGGUAAUCGUCGCGGCCACGCCGUAAAACCCCAACUUCUGAAUGUUGAUCUCUGAUCAGGUAGGAAUACCCGCUGAACUUAAGCAUAUCAAUAAGCGGAGGAAA
rnacentral:rRNA from 1 species